rnacentral:rRNA from 1 species
UCUCAGUUCGGAUCGAAGUCUGCAACCCGACUUCGUGAAGCUGGAUUCGCUAGUAAUCGCGCAUCAGCCAUGGCGCGGUGAAUACGUUCCCGGGCCUUGUACACACCGCCCGUCAAGCCAUGAAAGCCGGGGGUACCUGAAGUACGUAACCGCAAGGAUCGUCCUAGGGUAAAACUGGUAAUUGGGGCUAAGUCGUAACAAGGUAAC